rnacentral:tRNA from 1 species
GGGCGAGUGGUGGAAUGGCAGACACGCUAGUCUUAGGAACUAGUGCCGGGAGGCGUGAGAGUUCGACUCUCUCCUCGCCCACCA